CCUACGGCGGCUGCAGUGGGGAAUAUUGGACAAUGGGCGAAAGCCUGAUCCAGCCAUGCCGCGUGUGUGAAGAAGGCCUUCGGGUUGUAAAGCACUUUCAGUGGGGAAGAAAGCCUUGGGGCUAAUACCCUCGAGGAAGGACAUCACCCACAGAAGAAGCACCGGCUAACUCCGUGCCAGCAGCCGCGGUAAUACGGAGGGUGCGAGCGUUAAUCGGAAUUACUGGGCGUAAAGCGCGCGUAGGCGGUCUGAUAAGCCGGUUGUGAAAGCCCCGGGCUCAACCUGGGAACGGCAUCCGGAACUGUCAGGCUAGAGUGCAGGAGAGGAAGGUAGAAUUCCCGGUGUAGCGGUGAAAUGCGUAGAGAUCGGGAGGAAUACCAGUGGCGAAGGCGGCCUUCUGGACUGACACUGACGCUGAGGUGCGAAAGCGUGGGUAGCAAACAGGAUUAGAUACCGUGUAGUC
rnacentral:rRNA from 1 species